rnacentral:rRNA from 1 species
AUUGAACGCUGGCGGCAGGCCUAACACAUGCAAGUCGAACGAGUGGCGGACGGGAGAGUAAGGACUGGGCAAGUGCCUGAUGGAGGGGGAUAACUACUGGACACGGUAGCCAAUACCGCAUACCAUCAGAUGUGCCCAGAUGGGAUUAGCUAGUUGGUGGGGCAACGGCUCACCAAGGCGACGAUCCCUAGCUGGUCUGAGAGGAUGACCAGCCACACUGGAACUGAGACACGGUCCAGACUCCUACGGGAGGCAGCAGUGGGGAAUAUUGCACAAUGGGCGAAAGCCUGAUGCAGCCAUGCCGCGUGUAUGAAGAAGGCCUUCGGGUUGUAAAGUACUUUCAGCGGGGAGGCGUUACCCGCAGAAGAAGCACCGGCUAACUCCGUGCCAGCCGCCGCGGUAAUUC